rfam:Oryza brachyantha chromosome 8, whole genome shotgun sequence.
UUUUGUUUUUUCGUGUCCAACGUUUGACGAUUCGUCCUAUUAAAAAGUUUUUGCGAUAAUAUUUUUAUUAUUACUAGAUGAUAAAAUAUGAGUAGUACUUUAUACGUGACUAAUUUUUAUAAGUUUUUUAAUAAAUUUUUCAAAUAAGUCAAAUGGUCAAACGUUGGACAAAGGAAAACGAAAAAUAAGUUUAUU